rnacentral:rRNA from 1 species
AUUGAACGCUGGCGGCAGGCCUAACACAUGCAAGUCGAACGAGUGGCGGACGGGUGAGGAAUGUCUGGGAAACUGUCUGAUGGAGGGGGAUAACUACUGGAAACGGUAGCUAAUACCGCAUACCAGAAGAUGUGCCCAGAUGGGGUUGGCUAGUUGGUGGGGUAACGGCUCACCAAGGCGAGGAUCCCUAGCUGGUCUGAGAGGAUGACCAGCCACACGGAAACUGAGACACGGUCCAGACUCCUACGGGAGGCAGCAGUGGGGAAUAUUGCACAAUGGGCGCAAGCCUGAUGCAGCCAUGCCGCGUGUAUGAAGAGGGCCUUCGGGUUGUAAAGUACUUUCAGCAGGGAGGCGUUACCCACAGAAGAAGCACCGGCUAACUCCGUGCCAGCAGCCGCGGUAAUAC